UUCAACAGCUGCAGCUGAAAAAAGUAGUGCUUUUAUCAAAGCUUUUGACUCAAAAAUAAAGGAGUUGGUUGAUGUAUUAGCAGCACAGUUUAUAUCCUGUUUCGAGCAGCAGAAUGUGCUUUUGCAAAAUUGCUUUGCGAAGCAGAAUGAACUGCUCUUGAAAAUACAAACCAAUAAUUUGGUUAAUGAUGCAGCACAAGAUGAUGAAGAUGAAGUGCCACUUCCGGAUAACCCACAACCUUCGUCUCCUAGAAAUGCUCCUGUAGUCGAAGAGGAAACUGAAGAAACUGAAUAUACGGCAAGUGGCACAGUUGAAUCUUUUUUAGAAGAUCAUGGUGAUGAUGAUGGUUUCAUCUAUGAAACUUUAGAUAAUGAUUUUUAUUAAAUUCAAGAGAAAUGCUCGAUAUGCCUUGAUGUAUUGACCAGACCAGCCAUCAUACCAAGAAGUGCCCAUGUGUUCUGCUAUGAAUGCAUUUACGAGUGGGUCGAUAAGGAGCUUGAGUGCCCAUUGUGCAGAAUAAUAAUUAAUACUUUUGAUAUUGCUGAGUUGCCAUAGCCUCACUUUAAUAGUUUUAUUGUAACCUACAUUUUCGCAUUUUUGUAUUACGUUUUCUAAUAAUACUUUAUAAUUACAUUUAUAAAACUACCUAUUUUUGUACUUUUUGUAAGUUUUGUAAAAAAAAUCAAUAAAGAGUGAAUUGACUUGA